rnacentral:piRNA from 1 species
UGAGGGCACAUGGCUUACUGAAUUUUAGG